GGGCCCAAGAUUUCUACCCAUUUGCUGAGGGUGGGCGGCGGCAAGUAGGCUGUCCUGGCUUGGGAUGGGCCAUGGGAGGAAAGGAGGAAGAAGCAGCUUUCUCGGUGAAACAGGGGAGGGGUUCUGUGAGAACCCUCUUUUCCAAGAGCAGAGAGGACAGCUCCCCAACAAUGGGGGGCGGGGUUUUGCUGGAAUGACGCAGGCUGGCCUCGAACUUGCACUUGCGAGUCUCUUCCCUCAGCCUCUUGAGUGCUGGUAUUACAGGCAUGCACCACCAAGCCUGGCUCAAAAAUUUUUUUUUCAGAGAGAGAACUGACUGUUCCAUCUAAGGGCCUUGAUGGUGACACGUGGGUUCUGAGUGAGGGACUGACGCGGGCUUUGUUCCCAGGGCAUGGCAUCCACUCCUGUCAAGAAGGAGGAAAACAGCUGGCCUUCCGAGGCCGCAAUGGCCUUGAGUGGAGGCUGGUUGAGCGUUGUCGGUGCUGGAGGUGGGAGUGUGCGGAGUAAGGAGCUGCCGGGCAGAGCCACCCAAGCCUGGGUUGAGCCACAAGCACCAAGAUGCUGGUCUUGAUCCUGAGCUUGGGGCCCGGGGGCCACCGAAGGUCGUUCCCACAGGUCUGGGACUGUUUGGCCAGAUCCCAGGCUCAACCCUUCAAUGCCAGACUGCUCAGCCCCUGGCUGACCUCUGACUGAGCUCGAGUUCCCAGGCUGAGCCCAUCUACUUCUCUCCCCUGAAGGCCUCAUUGUCCUGUUCUGAGGAGUCCCUGACUCGGAUCAGCACUGAACUCACAGAAGAGGCCUUGUUUAUCACUCACUGCCACAUGUACCCUGUGCCCCUCAAGCGAAAGCAGACAAAAGACCAAGGGACUCAGAUAUCAAAACAUGGUGAUCCUCAACUCAGGACCCUGCCACACGCCUAGUUCCAGUCCCUGAUCCCCUCUGGCCACCGCUGCCCUCUCCAGGAACCUGUCCAUGUCACAUGUCUGAGCCUGCGGGAGGCACAGUGCCCCCCACUAACCCCAUGCCCACCCCUCCCUGUGGCCAGGAAUCCCCUUGGCCUCUCUGCCUUAGUCCCUUUCCGGUUGAGGGGAUAGACAUUUCUCUGACUGGGCCUCUCUUCAGCGUUCUUCACCAAGACCGGAGGAACAGACACCCAGUGACUCCGACAGAAACUGCACUCGCACCAAGGCGCGCCUCCUGCCAGCCGCUCGAGAAAAGAACACGCCUCCAAAUGCCCCUGGUAAGGCGACUCAUUAAGCACUUCAUGCAGAGAGGAACUCCUGGUCUUGAGCAGUGUCACCUCUGAAGCCAACAGUCUCUUGGAACUGUCACCUGACUCCAUUCCCAGCCAGCAAGGUCUCCACCGCUGAGAAGAACAGACUUCAAUAAAGAGCUGGGAAGCCCCCCACCCAGCUGGUACUCUGGUAUGGCUCCUCUGGGAUUGAGGUGUGGGAGGACGAGCAGAGCCCUCUUUUUCCAGAUAUGGAUGCUGAGUGUGGGCUCGUGACAGGAAUGGCUUUGGCCCGGCAGUUGUCUGUCCUGUUAGAAGCUCAUGGUGAGCUCAUGGAUCCAAACCCAUCCUGCCUGGGGGCGGCAUCUGGGAGGGGGCCCCCACCCUUGCUUCUGAGGAAUAACUGUGGCCUCCGCUACUGUUGCCAAGGAGCCUGAGCCAUGGUCUCUGGCCCUGAGCUUUGGGCCUCCUGUCUAGGGGAGCAUCUCACACCCGGCACUAGCCAGAAGUCAGUGCAGCAGUCCUCAGGGUGUUUUCAUUUCAGGGGUGCGUGGCCACUUAUUUGGGCCACCUGAGGAUGUCAGUUUCCCUCUCUGAGCCUGUUUCCUUAUCCAAAAAGAAUAGUAAAUUGGCCCAGUUUCACAGGGCACUUGUGAGGUUUAGAAAAAUAAUGUUGCCAGAGAAAGGGAUGCAUGCCUGUCAGCCCAGCCACUUGGGAGGCUGAGGCAGGAGGAUGUCAAGUUCAAAGCCAGCCUGAGCAGCUUAGUAAGACCUUGUCUCAAAAUAAAAAGGGCUAGAGAUGUAGCUCAAUGCUCCCUGGGUUCAAUCUCCAGUACCACAAAACAAAAACUCUGUUGCAUGCAAAGUGCUUAACAGAGCAUGGCUUAAAGAGGAAUUUAAAACCAAGUGUGGUGGUGCACGUCUGUGAUCCCAGCACUCUGGAGGCUGAGACAGGAGGAUUGCCGAAAGUUCAAGGCCAGCCUGGGUUACAGUGAGUUCAAGGCCGGCCUGGAAUACAUAGUGAGAGCCCAUCUCACAAAACAAGCAAAAGCUGGGGAUCUAACUCAGUGGUUCCAGCACCUGCCUCACAAGUGCAAGGUCACAAGUUCGAUCCCCAGUACCAAAAAAACAAAACAAAAAAGGAAUUUAAACUAUUCUGAUUCUGAUGGUAGGCCUCAUGUUCUCCUAAAAUUCACCCCUUUCUUGAGUAUCCAAUCAUCCCUUCACUGUCUUAAACAUAACAUGUUCAGUUGAACUUUAAUGUAUAAUUUUGUUAAGUAAAAUUCAGUUAAUUUCAAGAAAUACCCUUCAGACAGGCUCAGUGGUGGAGUACGUGCUUGGUGUGUGUGCAGCAGUAAACUGCUUAUCAUAUUCAAGUUUAUUGAACACUAUAGGAGAGGACACCUUGGCUCAUACUUGGUAGAUGUGUAACAGCAGUUGCCAAGAAUUUAGAUGGGGCAGAAUGGUGCAUCUGAGUGAGAACAAAAGUUCUCAAAAGGAGGUGGACGUUCUUGAGAGAGACCUGUGGAAUCCUGGGAACUUUCAUGGAACUGUCCAUGAAAUAACAAAGCUGGCUGCUGCUGCCAAACAGUGACGGGGAGGGAGGCCACUGUCAGCUGUCCCAGCUGCAGGUACCUGGCAGUGCCAAGACCCGGGGCAGAGCUGUCCCAGUCAGUCCUCCCAGAGG